UCAUGCGUGAGUUCCAAAUAUCUCUAACGGUCGCCCCAGCGUGAGUUUUUUUAUGCACGUGAUGUUAGAAUGUUCUCUCCAUUCCAGAAUGUGAUUGAUACGUAACAGUACAUUUUAUCCGCGCUGCCCUCAAACUAAAGCACGCAGCCUGUUUAUAUUUAUAAGUUGUUUUAACUUCAAUUUAAAAUGAUUUUCAAACAAGUUUUUAUUUUCUAAAAACAGUUUGAAUUUAGGUGUGUUCCGCCUCCUCAUUCAUUCACAUAAAAAUAGUCAUUUUUACUUUUGCGGAUAAUUACAUUUUUGGGACAUUUCUGACAGGGACAAAAUUCCCCAAGCACUUCCCAAUUGUUUGUGCAGUUCACGUCUGCAGACAUUUGCUCAUCUCCCGUCAGAACAGGAUCUGCACACGUGUUCACAUUUUCUAUUCCACAUUUCUAUUGUAGCGUACUGUAUGUAUAGAGCAUAAUAUAUUUGUGUAUAUUCUUUAUCACCGCGGAAACGUGAGGUAACGUUACUCAUUUUAUAACCUUUAUGAUGUUAUAGUCAAUCGUGCUUAUGUAGCCACAUUCUUCUAUUAGCUCUGUAAAACAAUGCUAAAUGCGUCAGAGAAGUAUUAUCUUGUGUUGCAUUUUGAAGCUACCAUGGCCUUAUGACUCUCAAGUGGUGCAGCGGUCAAAGGCACAGCACAUCAGUACUAGAGGUGUCACUACAGACUCCCUGGUUCAAAUCCAGGCUGCGUUUCCAUCAAAAAACAUUAUUUGCCAAUAUCAUAACUGAAGCUGGACAUCUUUGGAGCAUAAGAAUGAGGACAGCUUUUGUAUGCUAACGUACACUCCUUAACAGUUGUACUGGAUGAAAACACAGCAAGAAAACGCAUGCCAAUAUGUAAUAUUCAUCUAUUUUAUUGCAGUACUGGUAGUUAUUUCAACAACUUGUUUUACUAGAGGACAAAAAACUGAAUAUGCGUAACCCAUAUUUAAUAUCCAUGCAGUGACUGAACAACAACUGCAUUUCCACCCCCAUCUCUAAGGCAUAGUAUCAUGGCUGGUCACCUGUCAAGUCACAUGUCAGGUCAGUCAGUCACCUAUUGCUGCAGAUGUGCUCAAUAAUGCUUGAGUAUGUGAUACUCCUCAAAGCAUGGUGAAAUACAUAGAGGUGUAUCACAAGCUAGACACAUGUAUUUUGUCAUCUUCCUCUGCUUACUUCUCCUGGCGCCAGACAGGCAGACUUUGCAAUGCCUCCGUGUGCGACUACCUUGAGAAGCAGUUUGAGGGACUUUGCAGGGAAAAUGUCGUGCAGUGAGGCGUAGGGGAUUGUCUACAGCAGGACGACCCCCAGUGGAUGGGCGCCGAGGGGUGUGGUGCUCCUCCAGCAGCUCUCUCAUGAGGUUCUCUCUGUAUUUUUGGUGGUCCACCUUCCCUGUGGCCGACAUGGUUGCUGUAUGGACAGUGGAGAGGACAUGGACGUCUCGCUUGUCAUGCCACUUUACUGCCAGCUGUUGACCGUUCUCUUGGAACUCCACCUCCCCUCUCUGCAUCUUCCUGCAUCCGAAUGCCGGCAUCCCCUUCCUGUUCGACCUGACUGUGCCACAUGCCCCUGUGCUGUUGGAGAGCAGAUGCUGGAAGAGUGUGGGACUGCUGUACCAAUUGUCCACGUACAAAGUGUGUCCCUUGCCGAGAUGAGGAGCCAGCAUGGUCAUCACCACGGACCCUGACACCCCAAGCCCAUCAUAAUGUUUGAUGUCAGUGGUGGACCCUGUGUAAACUAUAAUAUCCUGGACAAAUCCU